rnacentral:snRNA from 1 species
AGCUUUGUGCAGUGGCAGUAUCGUAGCCAAUGAGGUUAAUCCGAGGCACAAUUAUUGCUAAUAAUAAUAAUAAUAAAAUAGCAGCAAAUAAUAAUUAAACAGAAACUCUCAACAAUUAUGAUAAACCAUUCCUAAGG